rnacentral:rRNA from 1 species
UACGAAGGGGGCUAGCGUUGCUCGGAAUCACUGGGCGUAAAGGGCGCGUAGGCGGCCAUUCAAGUCAGGGGUGAAAGCCUGUGGCUCAACCACAGAAUUGCCUUUGAUACUGGUUGGCUAGAGACCGGAAGAGGUAAGUGGAACUGCGAGUGUAGAGGUGAAAUUCGUAGAUAUUCGCAAGAACACCAGUGGCGAAGGCGGCUUACUGGUCCGGUUCUGACGCUGAGGCGCGAAAGCGUGGGGAGCAAACAGG